GAUGAACGCUGGCGGCGUGCCUAAUACAUGCAAGUCGAGCGAACGGACGAGAAGCUUGCUUCUCUGAUGUUAGCGGCGGACGGGUGAGUAACACGUGGAUAACCUACCUAUAAGACUGGGAUAACUUCGGGAAACCGGAGCUAAUACCGGAUAAUAUUUUGAACCGCAUGGUUCAAAAGUGAAAGACGGUCUUGCUGUCACUUAUAGAUGGAUCCGCGCUGCAUUAGCUAGUUGGUAAGGUAACGGCUUACCAAGGCAACGAUGCAUAGCCGACCUGAGAGGGACAUCGGCCACACUGGAACUGAGACACGGUCCAGACUCCUACGGGAGGCAGCAGUAGGGAAUCUUCCGCGAUGGGCGAAAGCCUGACGGAGCAACGCCGCGUGAGUGAUGAAGGUCUUCGGAUCGUAAAACUCUGUUAUUAGGGAAGAACAUAUGUGUAAGUAACUGUGCACAUCUUGACGGUACCUAAUCAGAAAGCCACGGCUAACUACGUG
rnacentral:rRNA from 1 species